GAUGAAGAACGUAGCGAAAUGCGAUACUUGGUGUGAAUUGCAGAAUCCCGUGAACCAUCGAGUCUUUGAACGCAAGUUGCGCCCGAAGCCUCGGCUAAGGGCACGUCUGCCUGGGCGUCACGCAUCGCGUCUCCCCCAAACCGCCAAGGCGGAGGGGAAGGAAGAUGGCUUCCCGUGCCUCACCCGGCGCGGUUGGCCUAAAUUUGGAGCCCGCGGCACUUAGCUCUCGCGGCGAUAGGUGGUGAACAAGGCCUUGGCCGUGCAAACAACCCGCUGCGAAGCUCUAUGUCACGUGCGCUCGUCGGACCCUUUGAAGUUACCUUCGGUGACUUAAAACCUUUGCGACCCCAGGUCAGGCGGGGCUACCCGCUGAAUUUAAGCAUAUCAAUAAGCGGAGGA
rnacentral:misc_RNA from 1 species